CCAAUAGCGUAUAUUAAAGUUGUUGCAGUUAAAAAGCUCGUAGUUGAAUUUCGGGGUUAGUAGGCUGGUCAUGCCUCUGGUAUGUACUGGUCUCACUGAUUCCUCCUUCCUGAUGAACCGUAAUGCCAUUAAUUUGGUGUUGCGGGGAAUCUGGACUGUUACUUUGAAAAAAUUAGAGUGUUUAAAGCAAGCUAACGCUUGAAUACAUUAGCAUGGAAUAAUGAAAUAGGACGUUCGAUCCUAUUUUGUUGGUUUCUAGGAUUGACGUAAUGAUUAAUAGGGAUAGUUGGGGGCAUUAGUAUUCAAUUGUCAGAGGUGAAAUUCUUGGAUUUAUUGAAAACUAACUACUGCGAAAGCAUUUGCCAAGGAUGUUUUCAUUAAUCAAGAACGAAAGUUAGGGGAUCGAAGACGAUCAGAUACCGUCGUAGUCUUAACCAUAAACUAUGCCGACUAGGGAUCGGAUGAUGUUAAUUUUUUAAUGACUCAUUCGGCGCCUUACG
rnacentral:rRNA from 1 species